UAGGGAAUCUUCGGCAAUGGACGAAAGUCUGACCGAGCAACGCCGCGUGAGUGAAGAAGGUUUUCGGAUCGUAAAACUCUGUUGUUAGAGAAGAACAAGGACGUUAGUAACUGAACGUCCCCUGACGGUAUCUAACCAGAAAGCCACGGCUAACUACGUGCCAGCAGCCGCGGUAAUACGUAGGUGGCAAGCGUUGUCCGGAUGUAUUGGGCGUAAGCGAGCGCAGGCGGUUUCUUAAGUCUGAUGUGAAAGCCCCCGGCUCAACCGGGGAGGGUCAUUGGAAACUGGGAGACUUGAGUGCAGAAGAGGAGAGUGGAAUUCCAUGUGUAGCGGUGAAAUGCGUAGAUAUGUGGAGGAACACCAGUGGCGAAGGCGGCUCUCUGGUCUGUAACUGACGCUGAGGCUCGAAAGCGUGGGGAGCAAACAGG
rnacentral:rRNA from 1 species